GAGUUUGAUCCUGGCUCAGAUUGAACGCUGGCGGCAUGCCUUACACAUGCAAGUCGAACGGCAGCACGGGAGCUUGCUCCUGGUGGCGAGUGGCGAACGGGUGAGUAAUGCAUCGGAACGUAUCCUGGAGUGGGGGAUAACGUAGCGAAAGUUACGCUAAUACCGCAUAUUCUGUGAGCAGGAAAGCGGGGGACCUUCGGGCCUCGCGCUCCUGGAGCGGCCGAUGUCGGAUUAGCUAGUUGGUGAGGUAAAGGCUCACCAAGGCGACGAUCCGUAGCAGGUCUGAGAGGAUGAUCUGCCACACUGGAACUGAGACACGGUCCAGACUCCUACGGGAGGCAGCAGUGGGGAAUUUUGGACAAUAGGGGGCGAACCCUGAUCCACGCCAUGCCGCGUGAGUGAA
rnacentral:rRNA from 1 species